GAUGAACGCUAGCUACAGGCUUAACACAUGCAAGUCGAGGGGCAGCAUGAACUUAGCUUGCUAAGUUUGAUGGCGACCGGCGCACGGGUGAGUAACACGUAUCCAACCUGCCGAUGACUCGGGGAUAGCCUUUCGAAAGAAAGAUUAAUACCCGAUGGCAUAGUUCUUCCGCAUGGUAGAACUAUUAAAGAAUUUCGGUCAUCGAUGGGGAUGCGUUCCAUUAGGUUGUUGGCGGGGUAACGGCCCACCAAGCCUUCGAUGGAUAGGGGUUCUGAGAGGAAGGUCCCCCACAUUGGAACUGAGACACGGUCCAAACUCCUACGGGAGGCAGCAGUGAGGAAUAGUGGUCAAUGGACGAGAGUCUGAACCAGCCAAGUAGCGUGAAGGAUGACUGCCCUAUGGGUUGUAAACUUCUUUUAUACGGGAAUAAAGUGAGGCACGUGUGCCUUUUUGUAUGUACCGUAUGAAUAAGGAUCGGCUAACUCCGUG
rnacentral:rRNA from 1 species